rnacentral:rRNA from 1 species
UACGUAGGGCGCAAGCGUUGUCCGGAAUUAUUGGGCGUAAAGAGCUCGUAGGCGGUCUGUCACGUCUGCCGUGAAAACCCGGGGCUUAACCCUGGGCCGGCGGUGGAUACGGGCAGACGUAGAGGUAGGUAGGGGAGGAACGGGAAUUCCCGGUGUCGAGCGGUGGAAAUACGGCAGAUAUCGGGAGGAACACCGGUGGCGAAGGCGGUUCUCUGGGCCUUACCUGACGCUGAGGAGCGAAAGCGUGGGGAGCGAACAGG